rnacentral:misc_RNA from 1 species
GUGAAUCAUCAAAUUUUUGAACGCAAAUUGCACUUUCUGGUAUUCCGGAAAGUAUGCCUGCUUGAGGGUCAGUUAAAUAAAAAUCGGUGUUGUUGCUGCCUUUCGUGGUGAUGCGUCGGAAUUGGUUCUUUUUCCCUUGGGUUAGGUGCUUUAAAUUUUUUGAUGGUUUUUGCAAGUUAUUUAAAUGGUUUAGU